rnacentral:rRNA from 1 species
UUGAAAGGGAAACGAUUGAAGUCAGUCGUACCUUCGGGUAAUCAGCCUUUCGGGUGCGAUUCUGUGGAGCGUGGGGAGUUAAACGCCUUCAUGCCUGCAUAUUCGUGCACUUUGGGUGUACUUGCCCGUGUGGUAGGUUAACAUCAAUUUCGGAUGCCAUAAAAUGGCUGGAGGAAUGUAGCUUCGGUCUCGUACUGAAGUGUUAUAGCCUUUGGUAGAUGUGAUGACCGGGAUUGAGGAUUGCAACGAAUACCUUUUGGGCUACCCGCCUGGUCUCUGAAAGUUGCUCUGGUGCCGAAAGCUUGCUUACGGUUAUCAAAGUUGACGUUCAAAAGGUUAGAACGGGUUAAAUUCGUUAAGGAUGUUGACGUA